ACAGAUGCAAUAGGGAAUUGGCCGCAACAGAUUGACGUGCCAGGUAGGGGGCAAUACGAGUAACUAUGAUAAAAAUCAGAGCUCAACAUUCAACAGGAUCUGCGAGGCAGUCUUCCUACCGAAAAGAUAUUCCUCCCCCACCUCCAUUGGUAGAGCCCAGCUAUUCACGCUCUUGUAGUCAAUACGGAUACGCAAAUUGCUGUCCUAAUAUAGCAAAUUAAGGUAUUAAUAGAGGCAGUCCAUAGCCUCCAACAGCAACAAGUACAACAGCAGCAGCAA
rnacentral:lncRNA from 1 species